ensembl:snRNA U6 U6 spliceosomal RNA
GCUCACUUCUGCAGCACAUGUACUAAAAUUGGAACAAUACCGAGGACAUUAGCAUGGCCCUGUACAAGGAUGAUAUACAAAUUUGUGCAGCAUUCCACAUUUUU